ACCUUAGCGGAGUGGUUAACGCGUUGGCCUGCUACCUUUCUCUACUACUAAGAUCGGAGUCAGCCAAUUCCUUCGGGAGCGUGUGUUCGAAUCACACAGGU
rnacentral:tRNA from 1 species